GACGAACGCUGGCGGCGUGCUUAACACAUGCAAGUCGAACGGAAAGGCCCUGCUUUUGUGGGGUGCUCGAGUGGCGAACGGGUGAGUAACACGUGAGUAACCUGCCCUUGACUUUGGGAUAACUUCAGGAAACUGGGGCUAAUACCGGAUAGGAGCUCCUGCUGCAUGGUGGGGGUUGGAAAGUUUCGGCGGUUGGGGAUGGACUCGCGGCUUAUCAGCUUGUUGGUGGGGUAGUGGCUUACCAAGGCUUUGACGGGUAGCCGGCCUGAGAGGGUGACCGGCCAAUUGGGGUAUGAGAUACGGCCCAGCCUCCUAGGGGGGGGAGCAGUGGGGAAUAUUGAAUGAUGGGCGGAACCGUGAUGGAGCAACGCCGGGGGGGGGAGGAGGGCCUUGGGGUGGAAACCCGUUUUCGCUGUGGAGGAAGCGUGAGGAGCGGGAAUGGGAAAAGAAGCACCGGCUAACUGCGU
rnacentral:rRNA from 1 species